rnacentral:rRNA from 1 species
AACGUAGGUGGCAAGCGUUAUCCGGAAUUACUGGGCGUAAAGGGUGUGCAGGCGGGGAAGCAAGUGGGGUAUGAAAUAUCCCAGCUUAACUGGGAGGGGUUAUGCCAGACUGCUUUUCUAGAGGACGAGAGAGGGGGGUGGAAUUCCGGGUGUAGUGGUGAAAUGCGUAGAGAUCCGGAGGAACCCCAGAGGCGAAGGCGGCCCCCUGGCUCGUACCUGACGCUCAGCCACGAAAGCAUGGGGAGCGAACGGG